rnacentral:lncRNA from 10 species
ACACCAUGGAAGGUACCAGAGUUUAGAGCAAGACCUAGCGCACAGUGCACGCAAUGGUGAAUGAAUGGAUGAAAGAACAGGGGAAUGAAUGAUGGAAGAAACACCACGAAGAGGAGGAAAGCCAGGCCAGGGGGAAGCAGGAGGAUGUGAACCAAAGCAGGGAGCGAGGGCUGGUCUCGCAAGGCCCUCAGCCUGAGGCUUUGAGAAGGCCAUGGAGGUACAGUGACC